rnacentral:rRNA from 1 species
UACGGAGGGAGCGAACGUUGUUCGGAUUUACUGGGCGUAAAGGGCGUGUAGGCGGUUUGGCAAGUCAAUGGUGAAAUGCCUCGGCUCAACCGGGGACCUGCCUUUGAAACUGCCAGACUUGAGGCCGUGAGAGGAGACUGGAAUUCCUAGUGUAGCGGUGAAAUGCAUAGAUAUUAGGAAGAACACCAGUGGCGAAGGCGAGUCUCUGGCACGGUUCUGACGCUGAUGCGCGAAAGCUAGGGGAGCAAACGGG